AGCUUUAACUUAGGAAUUGCAUUCGAUACUGUCAGCUUAGAGUAUGGGAGAGGAUGUAGAAUCCAGCUGUAGCGGUGAACUGCGUAGAGAUCUGGAGGAAUACCGAUUGCGAAGCAGCCAUCUGGCCUAAUACUGACGCUGAGGUACGAAAGCAUGGGGGAGCAAACAGGAUUAGAUACCCUGGUAGUCCAUGCCGUAAACGAUGUCUACUAGCCGUUGGGGCCUUUGAGGCUUUAGUGGCGCAGCUAACGCGAUAAGUAGACCGCUGGGGAGUACGGUCGCAAGACUAAAACUCAAAUGAAUUGACGGGGGCCCGCACAAGCGGUGGAGCAUGUGGUUUAAUUCGAUGCAACGCGAAGAACCUUACCUGGUCUUGACAUAGUAAGAACUUUCCAGAGAUGGAUUGGUGCCUUCGGGAACUUACAUACAGGUGCUGCAUGGCUGUCGUCAGCUCGUGUCGUGAGAUG
rnacentral:rRNA from 1 species